AUUGAACGCUGGCGGAAGGCCUAACACAUGCAAGUCGAGCGAGCGGCGGACGGGUGAGUAAUGUAUGGGGACUGCCCGAUAGAGGGGGAUAACUACUGGAAACGGUAGCUAAUACCGCAUACUAUCGGAUAACCCAUAUGGGAUUAGCUAGUAGGUGAGGUAAUGGCUCACCUCGGAGACGCUCCCUAGCUGGUUGGAGAGGAUGAUCAGCCACACUGGGACUGAGACACGGCCCAGACGCCUACGGAGGCAGCAGUUGGGAAUAUUGCACAAUGGGCGCAAGCCUGAUACAGCCAUGCCGCGUGUAUGAAGAAGGCCCUAGGGUUGUAAAGUACUUUCAGUCGGGAGGCGUUACCGACAGAAGAAGCACCGGCUAACUCCGUGCCAGCCGCCGCGGUAAUAC
rnacentral:rRNA from 1 species